GCAGGAAAGCACAAAGAGGCUGCAGAUUACCACCCGCUACCUUCUCGGGCUGCCAGAGUUUGGGUGCGUGUGUUUUUAAGUGUUUUGCCCAGCUCCUCCUUCCCCCGCGACCAACAGCACACACGUACGUGAGUGAGCUAAUCAGCUCACAAACUGGAAGGAAAAAAAAAAAAAAAACCUUUCGAUGCAGGCGAGUGAUGGAAGAUAAAAUCUGAGGGGCGGCAUGUGGGUCAAGUAAAAGUUGCUCUGCAGUUCGCUCCUCCGAGCCCCGCAGCCCCGCGGCGACCGCAGGGAGGUGAGGUUCCCAAAGCCACUUUCACACCUUCGGUAAUGCACUAGCAAAGAGAAGCCCGGAGAGGCUGGAGUUUCCACGGACCGAACCGUCGGGGAAGCCGCCGCCCGGGAGGACGGAAGGGUUGGGCUCGCUACCUCUGCACACGGGCGAGCCGGGGCUCCGUCUCUCAGGAUAUGUGCAGGCCACUGUUUCUGCAAUGAAAGUGUAAAAAUGAUGGGUGUUUCAUGUGGAGAUUGUCCCUGUUUCUGAUGGUGAUACACUAGAAGAACCCACAGUGGCAUCCUGUAGACUCCCUGUUGCAGUGACAGCACAUGGGCUUUUCAUCUGCGCUCUCUGCAAUGAUCCUGCGAUCUGCCACACAAUCAGUUCCUUAGAAAAGAACAAUGCUACCAGAAAGAAAGAAAGUACUGGCAACAUGCACCAACAAUCUGCUGAAGAAAGCAAGUUGGCACAAUCUAAUGUGGAUAAGAAACCGGCCUCCUGCAUAAAAGAAGCCUGGGACUCGAGCUCCAGGCAACAAUAAGUGAGCCUGGGAAGAACAUCUUUCUACAAACCUACACCAGCUGAAAAAAAACCCUUCCCGAAAUGACUGGUGCCAUGUGUGGGGUUACCAGGAGCAGGAAGAAGUGUUUCAGAGGACAGAAAAAAAUUGAGUACAAAUAUUGUGGUUUUUCAUUGUCUUCAUAAAAACUGAGUUUUUCAGAUCUUGGACCUGGAGGGUAAUUUACAUAACCAAGUAUGAGAGCUCUCACAGAAUGAUUGCACACCUGCAUUUGGCGAAACAGAAAGAAAAACUCUUGUUGAGUAAUGUACCAUAUGCAAAUUGAGGGAUCAAAGGAGCACGACAGCUGUUGGCUCGAGUGCAACAUUGCAGUCUCCAAGGAGGCUGCCUGCCCUGUUGGCAGCAGGGUGAGUGCCAUGAUGCAGCUGCUGUUGGCAUGCUGAGAGCUGGAAGGGGAGAAAUUAUAAGGCAAAACAAGAAGGGGCUGUAAAGAUUCUUGAGGUUCAAACUGUAAAAUCUUCUCAGAGCUUCAGAAAAAAGGUCCAAGAAGACAAGGCACAUAACACUUUUCAGUAAAGGCUUAGAAAAAUGAAGUCACUUCCCUGGAGCAACAGAAGAACUCCAGCUGAAUGUAUGCAAGUGAAGAGAGGGAAGUAAGCAGCAGGCUGGCACUUGCUUCUGUAAUCUGUUCCAUGCAUUCUUGGAAAAGUGGCUUCACUGAAGCCGGAAAAUCUUCUGUACAGCCAACUAGAGUGGGGGAGCAGUGGAAAGAGGAAAGAGAAGCAUUUCAGGAAAGGAACCAGCAAGAAACAGUAUGCUCAGCAUGGGAUCCUGUUUAAUACUGGUUUGUGAAAUAAAAAAAGGCUAUCCAAGUGAUUUUUUUUAAAAAAACAUUUUUAAAAAGAAGAUGAUAAAAAAACUUGAAAAAGAAGUUUAUAGAAGCUCAUCAUCUCUGACCUGAAGCUAUCCAGAAAUCUCAAGGCCUUCCCCCUCAUUCUUGUCAGCACACUUUUCACCCCUGCUCUCCCCUCCUGUAGCCCUCCAUCACCACCUGGCUCCUCACUGCCAGCCCAUGGGGAUGAGUGCCUCGCAUCCCACUCUGCAGAGGAAAUAGGAAUCAUCAGGGGAGGAUCUCGUCUACUUACUGUACCCAAAAACCUUCUCUGCAUCUGUCUGUACCCCUCCAUACUUCCCUCCUGCCACCACAGGCAAGUUGCCCUCUUCCUACCCAAAGCAAAUCCCUCCCUGGCACCCCGCAUCCAUCUCGCCCCUACUCUUGAAGGACACGGCUUCAUCCAUUAGGAGGUGGCUCCUGAUUGCUCAUCUUUUAUAAAGUCAAUUCAUCAUUCACAGAAAGUUCUCCUGAGGUCUUUCAUACCCAACCGGAUCUUACCCACUGAACGCCCACACUAUCUUUCUUUCGCAGCCAGGCUGAGAUGAUUGUUGACACUCGCCAUCUGUUUCACUCCUCACCCACUGCAAUCGGCCUUCUAUCUCUGCCCCUGUACGGCCACUACUUUGUCCAAGGUCACUAAUAAUCACACUGUGCUAAACUCAGAAGACGUUCUCAAGUGCUAACCAUAUAUGACUUCUUUGUAGCACUUCAGACUGGUGACUCUCUGAGUUUUUUAAUCUUCUGGCUUCCGCGCCACUUGUUAGCGUUGCCUUUAUCUGUCUAGCUGAUUUUUUUUUUUUUUUGUCUAUUCUGAAAGGAUAUUCUCCAUUCUGUUGCUUUAUUCUUCCUCUCUCAACACACUUCCCCAGAGGAGCUUAUCCAUAUCCAUGGUUCCUUCUGCCCUAUUCCUCCACUCCCCCAAAGUAGAUACAAGAAUGUAGAUACAUGCA